rnacentral:SRP_RNA from 1 species
GGCGGCAACCCCCCACGUGGCGGCAUCUUGCCGAACUCCCCCAGGGCCGGAAGGCAGCAAGGGUAAGCGAGCUCUGUCGGGUACGUGGGGGGCCUUCUGCUGCCC